rnacentral:rRNA from 1 species
AUUGAACGCUGGCGGCAGGCUUAACACAUGCAAGUCGAACGGUAACAGGAAGAAAGCUUGCUUUCUUUGCUGACGAGUGGCGGACGGGUGAGUAAUGCUUGGGAAUCUGCCUUAUGGAGGGGGAUAACUACGGGAAACUGUAGCUAAUACCGCGUAAUGUCUACGGACUAAAGUAUGGGAUCUUCGGACCAUAUGCCAUAAGAUGAGCCCAAGUGAGAUUAGGUAGUUGGUGAGGUAAAGGCUCACCAAGCUGACGAUCUCUAGCUGGUUUGAGAGGAUGACCAGCCACACUGGAACUGAGACACGGUCCAGACUCCUACGGGAGGCAGCAGUGGGGAAUAUUGCACAAUGGGCGCAAGCCUGAUGCAGCCAUGCCGCGUGAAUGAAGAAGGCUUUCGGGUUGUAAAGUUCUUUCAGCGAUGAGGAAGGUUGUGUAUCUAAUAGGUAUGCAAAUUGACGUUAGUCGCAGAAGAAGCACCGGCUAACUCCGUGCCAGCAGCCGCGGUAAUACGGAGGGUGCGAGCGUUAAUCGGAAUAACUGGGCGUAAAGGGCACGCAGGCGGUUGUCUAAGUCAGAUGUGAAAGCCCCGAGCUUAACUUGGGAAUUGCAUUUGAGACUGGGCGACUAGAGUCCUCUAGGGAGGGGUAGAAUUCCACGUGUAGCGGUGAAAUGCGUAGAGAUGUGGAGGAAUACCGAAGCGAAGCAGCCCCUUGGAGAGAGACUGACGCUGAUGCGAAAGCGUGGGUAGCAAAC